CGUCACGAGACGUGUAGUCUUUCUCAUUGUGUUUUCUCUACAGCCUUUAACUGAACAAUUGCACAAUAAACGGUCAAACUCUUGACACGAAAAUUAUAAUUUAAAUCCACAAAAAAGAUAUCUGUAAUCCGGGGCAUAUAAAGACUGGGACCAGAAGAUAAUUACUUUCUCUCCAUUGAAACCAUGGGCUCUACCGGAAAGGGCUUGACCUCACCACUCAAUACCCAGGUGCAUACCUUCGAGCAACAAUUAUCUUGUCCAGAUCUAAAUAAAGCUACUGUAGGCCACAUCGGUUCUAGGAAUGAAAGUCUCCAGCGUCCGUGUCAUAUGCUCUCUGGGGCCUGUCGCUCAUGCAGUCUUCCGGCAGCUCAGGAACAUUCCCUGCACGGGCUCAUGUCGCCAUUCCAAGAAAUCUGCCACGCAAAACCCGUCACUAAUGGCAGUGAAUAACAGGACUCCUACAGCAGCCCCCCAGACAGACCAGUACCGGGACUGGGUGCAGAACAGUACCGGGACUUAGUGCAGACCAGUAUCGGGACUUGGUGCAGACCAGGACCAGGACUGGGUGCAGACCAGGUGGCAUUGCGGGCAGAUGUUGGUGUUCUCAGAGCCGCUUGGCGCCUCGUGGUAUGAACCAUGACCGGUCUGCGCAGUAAUGAAGGUCGAUCUCUAGGAUAUAGUUCACCCCAACGCUCUCUUACAGAAACCCAGUCUGAAAUCAGAACGAAAAAUACUACUGCUCGGUAGGUCAAGUGCCUACCGGGAGGAAAUGGCACGAAACAGACGUUGCAUUGGCCGGGAAUCGUACCCGGGCCUCCCGCGCGGGAGCCGAAAAUGGUUGAGCUUAACUUCCUUAACUUUCCCCAUUCAUUCUCAAUGGUAGUUCUUAACAGUACGGAUGUAAUAUAUUUCCGGUCACUGGUGGACAUUUGGCGCUGUCCCGAGUUUCCGUUAUUUAGGUUAGGUUAUUACAAUGGUCUUACCUGUCAACAACACUUAUCGCGGACCUUCAUAUAGCAUAGGCUUACACUUUUUAGCUUGAUGGUAAAACGCGACGCUGCUUCAAAACUGAAAUGGUACGUAGGAGAAUAGAUAGUAUUCUCGAUCGUCAAUACUAUAUAUAUAGAGAAUAUAUAGUAUUGACGAUCGAUUUGAUGUACAGUUAGUAGUCAUAUGCAACGUUAACGUUGUAUAUCAAUCUACUUUUGGUCUGAUAUUUGCUGUGUAUAGUGCUACCAAUGUAUGUCUUUUAAUGUUUGAGCCAAUUUAACUUACUGUCUAUUAUUAUCAGACAUCACAUCAAUCAAUGACAUGGUGUCAUUAAUUAUUAGUAUUAUCAUCUGUUUUGUUAUGUUUAAUUAUUUUUUCUUCUCUCCUACUAUUUUUCUCCAUCUUUCUAGCAGCCUUUACACCCCUUAAAUUGUGUGCAGCUCCUGCAACUCACAGACACAAAGUAGUGUUUAUUUCAGCCAGCAUGAAGGUAAAGGUUAUUUUCCCGGGAAAGGUCAAGGUUUCUUUCCGGAGAGGGCCGACUGGGUAUUUGAGGCAAGACCCAUCAGUCGAGGCUAAGAGGAUUAAAGACCACCCUGACCUCCAGGACAAGUCAGCGGCCCAGAAUGAAGACCGGGUGAAAGACAAUGCCAGGUUUGUCGUAUUCAUGAGAGGGGGGGGAUAUAUCAGACAAGCAGGAGGUGCUUGGGGAGUAUGUCCUGCAGUUUGGGAAAUACAAGGGAAAGUUAUUCCGGUGGCUUGCAGAGAAUGAUGUAGGGUAGGUAACAUACCUCAUCAAGAAGGUCAGGGAGGAGGAGAGAGCAGGCCAGUUUAAGCCAGAUGGUCCCAAGAAGGACAGCUUUUUGUCACUCCUGCAGUACAGCUACAGCUUCCAGGAGAUCAAGGACCUGCUGCUGUAUCUGGACAGUCCGGUAGAAACACCACCAGCUAAGGAUGACGAAGACAACCUAGUUGGUUUUGGGGUUCACACGAAGAGGACGUGGAGGGAUGUUUGGGAGCGGAGAGACGAUGGAUUUUCUGCGUUCAUCCUGCGACAGCAGUGUACGCCAGGCAGCAAAAUGUUUAGGCUCCAGGACUACCUGAAGAGGCAGAGUGCUUCUGAGGGACGUGCAUCCUCAGGGCAUGCAACAUCGGCCUCUCAUUGCCCAGCUUUCACAGAAAUGGAGGAUGAUGAUGAGUUGGAGAGGAUGAUGCUCUCUAUAUCCCCAUCCAAACUCCAAGCGGAGGAUGGAGUUGAGGAAUGGGAGAGAAUGAUGCCAGCCACACCUAUUCCAGGCCAUCUUGCACCCUCUGCCCUGUCUAGAGUACCUGCUCUGUCUACGGCAUCCAGGUCCUCUUCCGCCCUUCCUGCAGCACCUGCUCUGUCGGCGGCGUCGAGGUCGUCUACAGCACCCUCAACAUCAUAUCCACCUCCUGCAGCACCCUCGCCACCUUGUUCACCUGAUCCACCACUCCCAAGGUACGACCAGGAUGUGAUUCGUUGGAACUGCUCUCACCAUCAGAGAAUCUGGAUGAAGAUUGAGAUGGAGCCCUUGGGGCUUUGGCCAGGUCCUCGAACGCUCCAUCCAUUUUUUAUAUGGAAGCCAGAGCACACCAUCAUGGAGCGAGUGAAGAACAACUACACUCUGCCCUGUCUCUAUAGCUGUGGAAGUCCUUUCGUAGUGUCAUCAGGAGUUGGGCGACCCCGUGUCAUUAUCGGCUUGGGUGGCCAGUAUUACAUCCUGGCGUCACGGCUCUGUUGCAAAGGAUGCAACAAGUUCUGGCACGCAGACAAGCCUCAAUGGUUGGACAUGUUGCCGAGCCGAUUCACCAAGAUCUUACCAGCUUUCCUUACCUUCAAAAAGGCAAUUUGUAAGACUGUGAUGGAUGAGCUGCGGCACUCUGGAAAGUCUCCCAAUGACAUGGCCAACCAGUUGAAUGAGGCUCUCCACCUCAAGUAUGAGCGGGCACACUUGGCAUACCUGGAAAGUGUGAAGAACGUGCUGGAUGGAGAGAGUGGACUGUAUGGACAGUGAACCAUCACAGGGGCAAUGAGAGCAACAUCAACUCCUGCUCCAUUUGGUGGGUAUGUGGAUGGGUGGCACGGAGUGAUGUUAUCGGGGCAUUACCUGGUCGAGUGCCUAAUUCAGGAGUUCCCCAGACAGGAAGACACCCUUGUUCUCCUCCAAGGCACAUUUGGUCAGGCCUUGAGAGCUGACCACACCAGGAAGGUGGCUCGGAAAGUGGUUCUUGCCUCAAGCACCAUGUCAUCAUAUGCUGUGAUGAAUGAAAAUUGGAUGAUCCUGUCCUGGGUUAUGCUUCAGACAGAGGGGGACAGAUCCUUGGAACCCAUGUACGAGGGGCUGUCUUGCCGUCGCAACUACGCAGACAUCCCCAAAGCCCAAUACCAGUGGGUUGACAGGGACUGCUGUGCAGCCUUCAGGGUUUGAUUUAGUGGCUGAGGCUACUUCAGGGCCCCUCAACAACACCUGUGUAUCCCGCAGCAAGUUCAACAGCGACAUUGACAUCAAGCUGGACCUGUUUCAUUGCAUGCGCCGCCUCUCCAGAGUGUGUGUCAGAGCACCAUCCACUGCACAGCUCUUUCUGCAAGUUCCUUUCUGCAGCUUUCACUAUCGUGGACCAGACAGACCUGGAGAAACUUAAACAGGCAUACGUCUUCUGCGGUGUUGUGCCUGCUAAUCCCACCAAACAGCACACCAAAGAGCACUGUCGCACCAGGGUACCUGGUCCCUGAGAGCUGCUGGAGAGAGUCGAGCGCGUUCUGCAGCGAUUCCAUUUGGAGAAUGAUCCCGAUGGUAUGCCACUGUUUAAGCCGUCAAUGUUGACGGUGUGGAGGAUUCAGCGUUUUCACAUCCUCAGAGGCUGCUUGAGCGACCCAGAGGUUGCAGAGGGAAUCCUUUACAGAUAUGGCGGAACAGUGCAGCUCAACCAUGUCAAGGGAGACGGAGCUACUGUGCCCCUGUGGAUCCCUGUGAGAGGUACAUCACAGCAGCAGGGGUUCCAUUUCCAUCAGGCAAAAUGGGUGACGGGUAACAAGGUCUCCACAGAACUCUUCCAAGCUUAGGGCAUGAUUGGUGUGGCUCAGUGGAAUUUCAAGCGCUUUGUGGACCUGAAGUUGCCUGAUGUGAUGCUGCCUGCAGUCUUUGAUCCAGUACUGAUGAUGGAGCUGAAUAAGCUCUCUGAAGUGCUGACAGGUCAUGCCAAGUACCCUGCCUUGCGUGUUUCACACACUGACACAGGAGAAAGGUUUGGACUCCAGUAUCUAGAACCUGGCUGUCGUCCUGUCCCGCUGGACUGCAGCAAGCACAAGACCCAGAAGGUUCCUGUUGCAGGAGAGAGAGAGCACCACUCCUCAGAACCGUCUCUUCUCAGUGAGACAUUCACUGAAGACCCAUCUGAGGAGACGAGGGAGGAAGACUGUGCUCUGGAUGACCUCUUUGGUGUGGCUUCCCUUGGCUCACAUGCAGUGGCCCAACCCUCACAGCCAUUCAAAGUUCUAGUUCUCCCAGUCCCAGUGAUGCCACCGAUGCCCAUGUCUGCCUCUCCACGUGCUGCACGCACAGGUCCAGUCAAGGCAGGCGGCCUACUUUUUGUCCUGGACCAUUCCCGGUGGACACAGCCAAUGAGGGAUGCCAUCGACGGCCUUCUGGCAAAGCACCAUGACCAGAAAGACCUCCUCGCCAAGGUGGAUGCAGAGUAUGCUACCCUUGUGCUUGCUGCCUCCAGAGAUUCGAACAACUUGUUACAUCCGACCACCAAACAGCACAUCUCACGGUAUGUGAAACACCAGGCCAAGCUGAUGAACACAAGUUUGUGUCUGAACACCGGUCCAGAGAAACUCCUUGAGACACAAGAGCUGUGGCAUCAUCUCACAGAGGGUAGUGAAACUGUUUGUGUCCCGGUGGUAACCCUCCCACCUGCACCUGUGAAUCUGCCCAGCAGUAAGUCGCAAGAGCCCUCUCUCACAAAGGCUGAAAUGGAAAACCUGGUCAAAGAGCUUGUGCAAAAGCAGGAAAAGCAGCAGCAGCAGCAGCAACAACAGCAGCCUGUGCCAAAAAAAAGUAGGAACUGUCUUGCAUGUGGCCCGCCUAAUUCCCGUUACCUUGGUGAUGGCUGCUCCAUUCACUUCUUUUACCUGGCAGGAAAGGUAAAGUACUUUAACUGCUCUACAAAGAUGCAUCGGACCUAUGUAGCAGAAGGCCUUAAUGAUCCCCUGCAUGGAAUUUCUUGACUUUGCUGCCUUUUUUCAAGAGAGAGCUGGAGGCAGCAAAGCAGCGGUCUGCUGAGUCCAGGCAGGUAAAAGAAGAGCGGGGAAAGAGAAAGGCCAUGGAGCAGCUUCCCACUGGUCACCUGUGUAGGUUCUGCCACAAACCUAUAAAACAAGGCCCAGGCGGUCGGCAUACACACACUGGGUUCCCUGGUGUGACCGGGAAAUACGUGUACUGUCCUUCAAAAGUUUUUCACCUGUAUCAGUCAGAGGGGAUGACUUCGGAGAUGUCUUGGGAGGAGUUCUGUCAGUCUCCCUUUUAUGAGACUGAAAAGAAGAGGUGGGUGGCAGAAAAGGGAAGGUGAUUGGUCCGUUUGGAACACUUAUAGUUAUUCAAUUUGGUUCAUCUUUUAUUUUUUUUAUUUUGUUAUGGGUAUUUUCUGAUCAGAUGCUGGAAAUGCACUACUUUAAAGGUCUACCUUAAUUUACUAAGUUAAUUUCUAUGUCAUUUUUGUUAUUCAUUCAGUUCAUUUUAUCUUAGCUAUUUAAAUUACGCUGUUUAGUGUGUGUGUGCUUAUUUUGAAAUAAAACCAGUUUAAUACAAC
ensembl:lncRNA